GUUUCAUCAUAUUUAUCUACUUUUUCCUAACAGACUUGUUACAGCAGGGAAAUCAUGCGCUGUUUAACGAGGAGCAGUGGCCUCAUUUGUACAGGCAAGCAGCAGAAUGAGACAUCCACAACAGUUGUUACACAAAGCAAGAAGCUAAAUAUCACGUCAGCAAAGGUGUUGAUUAAAAGAG